rnacentral:rRNA from 1 species
CANNUGGGCGAAGCCUGACGCAGCAACGCCGCGUGUGGGAUGACGGCCUUCGGGUUGUAAACCACUUUUCGAGGGGAAGAGGAAGGACGGUACCCUCGGAAGAAGUCUCGGCUAACUACGUGCCAGCAGCCGCGGUAAAACGUAGGAGGCAAGCGUUAUCCGGAUUUACUGGGUGUAAAGCGCGUGCAGGCGGUCUGUCAAGUCGCGUGUGAAAGCGCCCGGCUCAACCGGGCGAGGCCGCGCGAAACUGAGAGACUGGAGGCCGGUAGAGGCGUGUGGAAUUCCGGGUGUAGUGGUGAAAUGCGUAGAGAUCCGGAGGAACACCAGUGGCGAAGGCGACACGCUGGACCGAGCCUGACGCUCAGACGCGACAGCAUGGGGAGCGAACGGGAUUAGAAACCCCGGUAGUCCAUGCCGUAAACGAUGCGCACUAGGUGUGGCGGGUAACCAUUCCGGCUGUGCCGCAGCCAACGCGCUAAGUGCGCCACCUGGGGACUACGGCCGCAAGGUUAAAACUCAAAAGAAUUGACGGA